CCUACGGGUGGCAGCAGUUGGGGAUAUUGCACAAUGGGGGAAACCCUGACCCAGCAACGCCGCGUGAAGGAAGAAGGCUUUCGGGUUGUAAACUUCUUUUCUGAGGGACGAAGAAAGUGACGGUACCUCAGGAAUAAGCCACGGCUAACUACGUGCCCGCAGCCGCGGUAAUACGUAGGUGGCAAGCGUUAUCCGGAUUUAUUGGGUGUAAAGGGCGUGUAGGCGGGAAAGCAAGUCAGAUGUGAAAACUCAGGGCUCAACCCUGAGCCUGCAUUUGAAACUGUUUUUCUUGAGUGCUGGAGAGGCAAUCGGAAUGCCGUGUGUAGCGGUGAAAUGCGUAGAUAGACGGAGGAACACCAGUGGCGAAGGCGGAUUGCUGGACAGUAACUGACGCUGAGGCGCGAAAGCGUGGGGAGCAAACAGGAUUAGAUACCCGUGUAGUC
rnacentral:rRNA from 1 species